UCUUUUUAUUUUUAAAAGACCUUUUUCGAAAGGUAUGCUUAAAGAGGGGCUUGCGCCAUAUUAGUUAGUUGGUAGGGUAAAAGCCUACCAAGACGAUGAUAUGUAGCUGGACUGAGAGGUUGAACGGCCACAUUGGGACUGAGACACGGCCCAAACUCCCACGGGAGGCAGCAGUAGGGAAUUUUCGGCAAUGGAGGAAACUCUGACCGAGCAACGUCGCGUGAACGAUGAAGUAUUUCGGUAUGUAAAGUUCUUUUAUUGAAGAAGAAAAAAUAGUGGAAAAACUAUCUUGACGCUAUUCAAUGAAUAAGCCCUGGCUAAUUAUGUGCCAGCAGCCGCGGUAAUACAUAAAGGGCGAGCGUUAUCCGGAAUUAUUGGGCGUAAAGGGUGCGUAGGCGGUUUGUUAAGUCUUUAGUUUAAUCUCAGUGCUUAACGCUGUUCUGCUAGAGAAACUGACUUACUAGAGUGAGAUAGAGGCAAGUGGAAUUCCAUGUGUCAGCGGUAAAAUGCGUAAAUAUAUGGAGGAACACCAGAGGCGUAGGCGGCUUGCUGGGUCUUUACUGACGCUGAGGCACGAAAGCGUGGGGAGCAAACAGGAUUAGAUACCCUGGUAGUCCACGCCGUAAACGAUGAGUACUAAGUGUCGGGGAAACUCGGUACUGAAGUUAACACAUUAAGUACUCCGCCUGAGUAGUACGUACGCAAGUAUGAAACUUAAAGGAAUUGACGGGAUCCCGCACAAGCGGUGGAUCAUGUUGUUUAAUUCGAAGAUACACGAAAAACCUUACCAGGUCUUGACAUACUCUGCAAAGCUGUAGAAAUACAGUGGAGGUUAUCAGGGAUACAGGUGGUGCAUGGUUGUCGUCAGCUCGUGUCGUGAGAUGUUAGGUUAAGUCCUAGAACGAGCGCAACCCUUGUCGUUAGUUACCAGCACGUUAUGGUGGGCACUUUAACGAGACUGCCAAUGAAAUAUUGGAGGAAGGUGAGGAUUACGUCAAAUCAUCAUGCCCCUUAUGAUCUGGGCUACAAACGUGAUACAAUGGCUGUUACAAAGAGUAGCUGAAACGUGAGUUUUUGGCCAAUCUCAAAAAAACAGCCUCAGUUCGGAUUGAAGUCUGCAACUCGACUUCAUGAAGUUGGAAUCGCUAGUAAUCGCAAAUCAGCAUGU
rnacentral:rRNA from 1 species